rnacentral:sRNA from 1 species
UGCUGGGUUUACAGGCAUGACCACUGCACUUAGCCUCUCUUAUAAUUUUUUAAAUAAAGAAUGUCUUCCUCUUUCUGAAAUCACUACUGCAGUCUCACAACUACCCUGGUUGUUAAUGAUCUCUUCUCUUGAAAUAGUAAAUACCUUGAGGAAUUCCAGCUUGGUAAUAGAUUCUAGUUUUGGCUCUUCUUAACUAUACAUGUAGAUUUUACUUUUAUUAUUUGUGGUGUCUUUGAAAGAGGAGCAGCUGUGCUUUUGUCAGAGAAACAUUUAAUCCAGCACAUAUUGAUGAGGAUACCAAAAUGGGUACCAGUUGUUUUAAUUCCAUCUGGACUUGCGGAUAAUAUUAUGAUAACUUUUCAUCUUGUUCUUAAGUGCCAUUCUAAAUCCUUCAUCCCUUUCUUCACCUCUUUCUUCAAAUUUGCUGUUCUCUCUCCAAGAAAAUAUGAAUAAAUUGACUGUUCUCUUGUUUUUAAAUCCAAUUUCUAGCAUCUUUACAGUUAGCUAGAUUUGCCAUUCAUAAAUGAAGUACAGUGCUAGCUGGCCACUAGUGGAGUACUGACAUAAUUGAAUGUGCUUAUAGCAUCCUGCCUGAUUGAACAUCCCCGUGGCACAGGUGUUCUGCAUCUUUAAAAGCCUCUUGUUACCAGGGAGCAGCUUUGACUUUUCACACCGGGUGCACAUUUGGUACAAGCAGUGAAUGAAGGUGAUGCAUGAAUAAAUAUUUGUGUCCAGCCCACACAUCUGCUUCUUUCGGUCUCUAGUGAGUUCAUCCUGGUUUGUUUUGUUUUGUUUUGUUUUCCAGCUGCUGUGACUUACUCGAAGCCUCGGUUGGCCACAUUUUGGUACUACGCCAAGGUUGAGCUCGUUCCUCCCACCCCUGCUGAGAUCCCUAGAGCUAUUCAGAGCCUGAAAAAAAUAGUCAAUAGUGCUCAGACUGGUAGCUUCAAACAGCUCACAGUUAAGGAAGCUGUGCUGAAUGGUUUGGUGGCCACUGAGGUAUUGAUGUGGUUUUAUGUCGGAGAGAUUAUAGGGAAGCGUGGCAUCAUUGGCUAUGAUGUUUGAAGACCAAUCUUUAACAUCUGAUUAUAUUUGAUUUAUUAUUUGAGUGUUGUUGGACCAUGUGUGAUCAGACUGCUAUCUGAAUAAAAUAAGAUUUGUCAAAACUCAGUGUUUUCUCCAUCAGAUACUCCAUGAAAGGUCACAAUUUCUCUUGAUAUUAAGCUGGGUUGUAUUUAAACAACUCUAAAUGCACGUCUGUUUAGCCCACAACUGGAAAGGAUAUAUGUGGCAAUAUUAACCUGGUACAUGAAUAUAUGGGGAUAACAUUUUAAUUUGAAGGUUUGGAAUAUAUAUAUUUAAGCUUUAUUUCCAGAACAGUGAGGGUUAGGUCUUGGGAAAACUAUAACUUGCCAAAGUAGAAGAAAUAGUAGUACCAUAUGCCAAAGUGAUAGAGAUGAAUCAUGUCAGCAGUUAGAAUAACAUUUCAACUGUUUCUCUUUGCUAAAAUCACAGAAAGACCCUAUUGACAACAUCUAUGUCUGUAAAAAUGUUAGAGUACUUGUCAUCUUGAAUAUA